GAUGAACGCUGGCGGCGUGCCUAAUACAUGCAAGUCGAGCGAACGGACGAGAAGCUUGCUUCUCUGAUGUUAGCGGCGGACGGGAGAGUAACACGUGGAUACCCUACCUAUAAGACUGGGAUAACUUCGGGAAACCGGAGCUAAUACCGGAUAAUAUUUUGAACCGCAUGGUUCAAAAGUGAAAGACGGUCUUGCUGUCACUUCUAGAUGGAUCCGCGCUGCAUUAGCUAGUUGGUAAGGUAACGGCUUACCAAGGCAACGAUGCAUAGCCGACCUGAGAGGGUGAUAGGCCACACUGGAACUGAGACACGGUCCAGACUCCUACGGGAGGCAGCAGUAGGGAAUCGUCCGCAAUGGGCGAAAGCCUGACGGAGCAACGCCGCGUGAGUGAUGAAGGUCUUCGGAGCGUAAAACUCUGUUAUUAGGGAAGAACAUAUGUGUAAGUAACUGUGCACAUCUUGACGGUACCUAAUCAGAAAGCCACGGCUAACUACGUG
rnacentral:rRNA from 1 species